rnacentral:ncRNA from 2 species
CUCUUAUCAAGAGAGGUGGAGGGAUGUGCCCUAUGAAGCCCGGCAACCGUCAGAUAUCUGAAAUGGUGCCAAUUCACACAAAGUUUUUAACUUUGGAAGAUGAGAG